rnacentral:rRNA from 1 species
AGAGUUUGAUCCUGGCUCAGAUUGAACGCUGGCGGCAUGCCUAACACAUGCAAGUCGAACGGAAACGAUGGGAGCUUGCUCCCAGGCGUCGAGUGGCGGACGGGUGAGUAAUACUUAGGAAUCUGCCCAGUAGUGGGGGACAACUCGAGGAAACUCGAGCUAAUACCGCAUACGCCCUACGGGGGAAAGCGGAGGAUCUUUCGGGACUUCGCGCUAUUGGAUGAGCCUAAGUCGGAUUAGCUUGUUGGUGAGGUAAAGGCUCACCAAGGCAACGAUCCGUAGCUGGUCUGAGAGGACGAUCAGCCACACUGGGACUGAGACACGGCCCAGACUCCUACGGGAGGCAGCAGUGGGGAAUAUUGGACAAUGGGGGAAACCCUGAUCCAGCAAUGCCGCGUGUGUGAAGAAGGCCUGCGGGUUGUAAAGCACUUUCAGUAGAGAAGAAAAGCCUAGGGUUAAUACCCCUGGGUCUUGACGUUACCUACAGAAGAAGCUCCGGCUAACUCCGUGCCAGCAGCCGCGGUAAUACGGAGGGAGCGAGCGUUAAUCGGAAUUACUGGGCGUAAAGCGCGCGUAGGCGGCUUUGUAAGUCGGAUGUGAAAGCCCUGGGCUCAACCUGGGAAUGGCAUUCGAUACUGCAAAACUAGAGUAUGGUAGAGGGAAGUGGAAUUUUCGGUGUAGCGGUGAAAUGCGUAGAUA